rnacentral:rRNA from 1 species
AGUUUGAUUAUGGCUCAGAUUGAACGCUGGCGGGAUGUUUACACAUGCAAGCGAACGGCAGCACGGACUUCGGUCUGUGAAGCAGUGGCGAACGGGUGAGUAAUGUAUCGAAACGUGCCUAGUAGCGGGGAUAACUACGCGAAAGCGUAGCUAAUACCGGGCAUACGCCCUUCGGGGAAAGCGGGGGACCUUCGGGCCUCGCACUAUUAGAGCGGCCGAUAUCGGAUUAGCUAGUUGGUGGGGUAACGGCUCACCAAGGCGACGAUCCGUAGCUGGUUUGAGAGGACGACCAGCCACACUGGGACUGAGAUACGGCCCAGACUCUACGGGAGGCAGGGAAUUUUGGACAAUGGGGAAACCCGAUCCAGCCAUCCGCGUGUGCGAUGAAGUACCUGGGUUGUAAAGCACUUUGGCAGGAAAGAAACGGCACGGGAUAAUACCCGCAACUUCGACGGUACCUGCAGAAUAAGCACCGGCUAACUACGUGCCAGCAGCCGCGGUAAUAAUGUGGUGGGUGCAAGCGUUAAUCGGAAUUACUGGGCGUAAAGCGUGCGCAGGCGGUUCGGAAAGAAAGAUGAAAUCCUUAUAGCCUUAACUUUGGAACUGCAUUUUUAACUACCGAGCUAGAGUUGUCAGAGAGUGAAUUCCGCGUGUAGCAGUGAAAUGCGUAGAUAUGCGGAGUGAACACCGAUGGCGAAGGCAGCUUUCCUGAUAACACUACAUCGCUCAUGCACGUGAGCGUGGGGAGCAAAACAGGACAGAUACCCUGGUAGUCCACGCCCCAAACGAUGUCAACUAGCUGUUGGGGCCUUCGGGCCUCUGCAGCGCAGCUAACGCGUGUAAAGCUACGCCUUGGGGAGUACGGUCAAAGAUUAAAACUUCAAAGGAAUUGACGGGACCCGCACAAGCGGUGAUAUGGAUUAAUUCGAUGCAAAUUCCGCGCGAAAACCUUACUCACCUCUUUGACAGCGUUCAACCCCGAAGAGAUUUGGGAGUGCUCAAAAGAGAACCGGAACAGGUGCUGCAUGGCUGUCGUCAGCUCGUGUCGUGAGAUGUUGGGUUAAGUCCCGCAACGAGCGCAACCCUUGUCAUUAGUUACAUGAAAGGGCACUCUAGACGAGACUGCCGGUAUAAAACCGGAGGAAGUGGGGAGCACGUCAAGUCCUCAUGGUCUUUAUGGGUAGGGCUUCACACGUUACACAAUGGUCGGGACAGAGGGUCGCCAACCCAUGAGGGGAGCCAAUCCCAGCAGUAAACCGAUCGUAGUCCGGAUCGCAGUCUGCAACUCGACUGCGUGAAGCUUUCAACUGGGUUAGUAAUCGCGGAUCAGCAUGUCGCGCAGGGAAUACGUUCCCGGGUCUUGUACACACCGCCCGUCACACCAUGGGAUAGUUUACACAGAAGUAGUUAGCCUAACCGUAAGGAGUGAAGGAUUACCACGGUAGUGAUUCUAUGACUGGGGUGGUCGCAUUAAAGGUAG